ACUCCGCGAAAACGGGGCUAAAACCGGAUAAUAUUUCAGGAUAUUCGGGUCCCGAAAUCAAAAGUGGCCUCUCCAUGUAAGCUACUGUUAGGAGAUGAGCCCGCGUACCAUUAGCUUGUUGGUAGGGUAAUGGCCUACCAAGGCUACGAUGGUUAGCUGGUCUGAGAGGAUGAUCAGCCACACUGGAACUGAUACACGGUCCAGACUCCUACGGGAGGCAGCA
rnacentral:rRNA from 1 species